rnacentral:rRNA from 1 species
CCAUGAAGCUGGAUUCGCUAGUAAUCGCGCAUCAGCCACGGCGCGGUGAAUACGUUCCCGGGCCUUGUACACACCGCCCGUCAAGCCAUGGAAGCCGGGGGUGCCUGAAGUGCGUGACCGCAAGGAGCGCCCUAGGGUAAAACCGGUGACUGGGGCUAAGUCGUAACAAGGUAGC